CUUAGUGGCGGACGGGUGAGUAACGCGUGGGGAACCUGCCCUGUACAGGGGGAUAACACUUAGAAAUAGGUGCUAAUACCGCAUAAGCGCACAGUAUCGCAUGAUACAGUGUGAAAAACUCCGGUGGUACAGGAUGGACCCGCGUCUGAUUAGCUGGUUGGCGGGGUAACGGCCCACCAAGGCGACGAUCAGUAGCCGGCCUGAGAGGGUGAACGGCCACAUCGGGACUGAGACACGGCCCAAACUCCUACGGAAGGCAGCAG
rnacentral:rRNA from 1 species